CCUACGGGAGGCUGCAGUGGGGAAUAUUGCACACUGGGGGAAACCCUGAUGCAGCGACGCCGCGUGCGUGAAGCAGUAUUUCGGUAUGUAAAGCUCUAUCAGCAGGGAAGAAAUAGCGACCUUUGGGUCGCCAGACGGUACCUGACUACGAAGCCCCGGCUAACUACGUGCCAGCAGCCGCGGUAAUACGUAGGGGGCAAGCGUUAUCCGGAUUUACUGGGUGUAAAGGGAGUGUAGCCGGCAGCACAAGUAUGAAGUGAAAUGCCGGGGCUUAACCCCGGAACUGCUUUGGAAACUGUGCAGCUAGAGUGCAGGAGAGGUAAGUGGAAUUCCUAGUGUAGCGGUGAAAUGCGUAGAUAUUAGGAGGAACACCAGUGGCGAAGGCGGCUUACUGGACUGUAACUGACGUUGAGGCUCGAAAGCGUGGGGAGCAAACAGGAUUAGAUACCCGUGUAGUC
rnacentral:rRNA from 1 species